rnacentral:rRNA from 1 species
UACGGAGGAUCCGAGCGUUAUCCGGAUUUAUUGGGUUUAAAGGGUGCGCAGGCGGAAGAUUAAGUCGGUGGUGAAAUUUUGCAGCUCAACUGUAAAAGUGCCAUUGAUACUGGUUUCCUUGAGUGUGGAUGAAGUAGGCGGAAUUUGUGGUGUAGCGGUGAAAUGCAUAGAUAUCACGAGGAACUCCGAUUGCGCAGGCAGCUUACUAAACCAUAACUGACGCUCAGGCACGAAGGCGUGGGGAUCAAACAGGAUUAGAUA